CCUUAGUAACGGCGAGUGAAGCGGCAAAAGCUCAAAUUUGAAAUCUGGCACCUUCGGUGUCCGAGUUGUAAUUUGAAGAAGGUAACUUUGGAGUUGGCUCUUGUCUAUGUUCCUUGGAACAGGACGUCACAGAGGGUGAGAAUCCCGUGCGAUGAGAUGCCCAAUUCUAUGUAAAGUGCUUUCGAAGAGUCGAGUUGUUUGGGAAUGCAGCUCUAAGUGGGUGGUAAAUUCCAUCUAAAGCUAAAUAUUGGCGAGAGACCGAUAGCGAACAAGUACAGUGAUGGAAAGAUGAAAAGAACUUUGAAAAGAGAGUGAAAAAGUACGUGAAAUUGUUGAAAGGGAAGGGCUUGAGAUCAGACUUGGUAUUUUGCGAUCCUUUCCUUCUUGGUUGGGUUCCUCGCAGCUUACUGGGCCAGCAUCGGUUUGGAUGGUAGGAUAAUGACUAAGGAAUGUGGCUCUACUUCGGUGGAGUGUUAUAGCCUUGGUUGAUACUGCCUGUCUAGACCGAGGACUGCGUCUUUUGACUAGGAUGUUGGCAUAAUGAUCUUAAGCCA
rnacentral:rRNA from 1 species